rnacentral:rRNA from 1 species
GAUGAACGCUGGCGGCGUGCCUAAUACAUGCAAGUCGAGCGAACAGACGAGGAGCUUGCUCCUCUGACGUUAGCGGCGGACGGGUGAGUAACACGUGGAUAACCUACCUAUAAGACUGGGAUAACUUCGGGAAACCGGAGCUAAUACCGGAUAAUAUAUUGAACCGCAUGGUUCAAUAGUGAAAGACGGUUUUGCUGUCACUUAUAGAUGGAUCCGCGCCGCAUUAGCUAGUUGGUAAGGUAACGGCUUACCAAGGCGACGAUGCGUAGCCGACCUGAGAGGGUGAUCGGCCACACUGGAACUGAGACACGGUCCAGACUCCUACGGGAGGCAGCGGUAGGGAAUCUUCCGCAAUGGGCGAAAGCCUGACGGAGCAACGCCGCGUGAGUGAUGAAGGUCUUCGGAUCGUAAAACUCUGUUAUUAGGGAAGAACAAAUGUGUAAGUAACUAUGAACGUCUUGACGGUACCUAAUCAGAAAGCCACGGCUAACUACGUG